rnacentral:rRNA from 1 species
CCCACGGGAGGCAGCAGUGAGGAAUAUUGGUCAAUGGACGAGAGUCUGAACCAGCCAAGUAGCGUGAAGGAUGACUGCCCUAUGGGUUGUAAACUUCUUUUAUAUGGGAAUAAAACGUUCCACGUGUGGGAUUUUGUAUGUACCAUAUGAAUAAGGAUCGGCUAACUCCGUGCCAGCAGCCGCGGUAAUACGGAGGAUCCGAGCGUUAUCCGGAUUUAUUGGGUUUAAAGGGAGCGUAGGUGGAUUGUUAAGUCAGUUGUUAAAGUUUGCGGCUCAACCGUAAAAUUGCAGUUGAAACUGGCAGUCUUGAGUACAGUAGAGGUGGGCGGAAUUCGUGGUGUAGCGGUGAAAUGCUUAGAUAUCACGAAGAACUCCGAUUGCGAAGGCAGCUCACUGGACUUCAACUGACACUGAGGCUCGAAAGUGUGGGUAUCAAACAGGAUUAGAUACCCCUGUAGUC